rnacentral:rRNA from 1 species
UACGAAGGGGGCUAGCGUUGCUCGGAAUCACUGGGCGUAAAGGGUGCGUAAGCGGGUCUUUAAGUCGGGGGUGAAAUCCUGGAGCUCAACUCCAGAACUGCCUUUGAUACUGAAGAUCUUGAGUUCGGGAGAGGUGAGUGGAACUGCGAGUGUAGAGGUGAAAUUCGUAGAUAUUCGCAAGAACACCAGUGGCGAAGGCGGCUCACUGGCCCGAUACUGACGCUGAGGCACGAAAGCGUGGGGAGCAAACAGG